ACGUCCGGCGGCGGCGGCAGCGGCAGCGGCAGCGGCGCUGAGUUUUGUCUCCCGGGCCGUCUGGGCGCGCGCGGGUGUCCCAGGUACCCCGCCGCCUCCCUCCUUCCCGCAGGACUCGUCCCUCCUGGCCCUGGGCCCCAACGGUGCCCGCCUGCCCGGCGGUCGGUCAGCGCACAGGGCACGGCUUCCUCUGCUUCUCCCGGACCACUUAGUCUCAACCCGGGUGUGUUUGCACUACUAGAGACGGAGUCUCACUCUGUUGCCCAGGCUGGAGUUCAAUGGUGCAAUGAUCUCGGCUCACUGCAACCUCCGCCUCUUGGGUGCAAGUAACUCUCCUGCCUCAGCCUCCCGAGUAGCUGGGAUUACAGGUCCCUUCAGAGCCGUGAAGGCGGGCAUCCUGUGACACAGCUGACACAGCAUGGAGCCUUCAUCUCCUAUGUGCGUUUCUUAGGUCACUCUGAGGGGUGGGGCCACAAGCUACCACCUACAGAAUUGAUACCUUUAGUUCAAAGCCAUUGACCAACCCAGGUUCAUGAAUUUUCAGGCAGAAGGUACCAAGACAACCCCAUUAGGCAACUAGGAAGACAGGCCAGGAAAGGCCUACGAUGUCGUCAUUACAGCUGCCACCGUCAGAGGGUUCAUUAUGUGCUCAGAGGUGCACAGGGCCUCACUGGCUGCUGGACAGAACAGGGGCUGCUCCCAGGACCAGGCAGGGUGGGGCUGGAAACCAACCCAAGGCUCUCAAAGCUCCAGGGCUGAGCCAUGGCAUCUCUGUGCCCUGUUCCCCACCACCCAACACCGAGCAGUUCCUCAAAUGGCUGAAAGCUCAGAAAAUCAGUUUUAAAACAAACUAUUGGAGGAUGUUUUCUUAUACCACUAGACAUUUUUUUUGUUUAACAAUCGCAAUAGAUUAAAUUUAAAAAAAUAUUUAGGAGAACAUAGUUCCAGAAUACAGGGAAAAAUAAGAACCUAUGGGAAAACAAGUUGAUUUCUGAAAAGUUUCAAAACUAUGAAAUGACCAACCUGUUAGAAUUGGUCAAGUAGUUCUUUAAUUUGCAACUAUGUGGC
rnacentral:lncRNA from 10 species